rnacentral:rRNA from 1 species
CCAAGUUUUUAAGGGCGCACGGUGGAUGCCUUGGCACCAGGAACCGAUGAAGGACGUGGGAGGCCGCGAUAGGCCCCGGGGAGCUGUCAACCGAGCUUUGAUCCGGGGGUGUCCGAAUGGGGAAACCCGGCAGUCGUCAUGGGCUGUCACCCGCUGCUGAACACAUAGGCAGUGUGGAGGGAACGCGGGGAAGUGAAACAUCUCAGUACCCGCAGGAAGAGAAAACAACCGUGAUUCCGGGAGUAGUGGCGAGCGAAACUGGAUGAGGCCAAACCGUAUGCGUGUGAGACCCGGCAGGGGUUGCGUAUACGGGGUUGUGGGAUCUCUCUUCUGUUGUCUGCCGGCAACAGGACGAGUCAGAAACCGUUGAUGUAGGCGAAGGACAUGCGAAAGGUCCGGCGUAGAGGGUAAGACCCCCGUAGUCGAAACGUCAGCGGCUCGUUUGAGAGACACCCAAGUAGCACGGGGCCCGAGAAAUCCCGUGUGAAUCUGGCGGGACCACCCGCUAAGCCUAAAUAUUCCCUGGUGACCGAUAGCGGAUAGUACCGUGAGGGAAUGGUGAAAAGUACCCCGGGAGGGGAGUGAAAUAGUACCUGAAACCGUGUGCCUACAAGCCGUGGGAGCGUCGGAACAAGGCUUGCCUUGUUCUCGUGACUGCGUGCCUUUUGAAGAAUGAGCCUGCGAGUUUGCGGUGUGUUGCGAGGUUAACCCGUGUGGGGAAGCCGUAGCGAAAGCGAGUCCGAAUAGGGCGUUGGAGUAGCACGCUCAAGACCCGAAGCGGAGUGAUCUAGCCAUGGGCAGGUUGAAGCGGAGGUAAGACUUCGUGGAGGACCGAACCCACCAGGGUUGAAAACCUGGGGGAUGACCUGUGGUUAGGGGUGAAAGGCCAAUCAAACUCCGUGAUAGCUGGUUCUCCCCGAAAUGCAUUUAGGUGCAGCGUCGUGUGUUUCUUGCCGGAGGUAGAGCACUGGAUAGGCGAUGGGCCCUACCGGGUUACUGACCUUAGCCAAACUCCGAAUGCCGGUAAGUGAGAGCGCGGCAGUGAGACUGUGGGGGAUAAGCUCCAUGGUCGAGAGGGAAACAGCCCAGAGCAUCGACUAAGGCCCCUAAGCGUACGCUAAGUGGGAAAGGAUGUGGAGUCGCAGAGACAACCAGGAGGUUGGCUUAGAAGCAGCCACCCUUGAAAGAGUGCGUAAUAGCUCACUGGUCUAGUGAUUCCGCGCCGACAAUGUAGCGGGGCUCAAGCGUACCGCCGAAGUCGUGUCAUUGCGAUAUAUACCCCCAACGGGGAUCGUGAUGGGUAGGGGAGCGUCGUCUGCCGGGUGAAGCAGCCGUGUAAGCGAGUUGUGGACGGUUGACGAGUGAGAAUGCAGGCAUGAGUAGCGAUUCACACGUGAGAAACGUGUGCGCCGAUUGACUAAGGGUUCCUGGGUCAAGCUGAUCUGCCCAGGGUAAGUCGGGACCUAAGGCGAGGCCGACAGGCGUAGUCGAUGGAUAACCGGUUGAUAUUCCGGUACCCGCUGUGAAGCGUCAAACAUCGAAUCCAGUGAUGCUAAGCCCGUGAAGCCGUUCCGGACCCUUCGGGGAAAGGAAAGUGGUGGAGCCGGUGACCCGAUCUGGUAGUAGGUGAGUGAUGGGGUGACGCAGGAAGGUAGUCCAGCCCGGGCGGUGGUUGUCCCGGGGUAAGGGUGUAGGACGUCAGGUAGGCAAAUCCGCCUGGCAAUAGUCUGAGACCUGAUGCCGAGCCGAUUGUGGUGAAGUGGAUGAUCCUAUGCUGUCGAGAAAAGCCUCUAGCGAGUUUUAUGGCGGCCCGUACCCUAAACCGACUCAGGUGGUCAGGUAGAGAAUACCGAGGCGUUCGGGUGAACUAUGGUUAAGGAACUCGGCAAAAUGCCCCCGUAACUUCGGGAGAAGGGGGGCCACAUCCGGUGACGGGCUUUGCGCCCUGAGCUGGGGGUGGCCGCAGAGACCAGCGAGAAGCGACUGUUUACUAAAAACACAGGUCCGUGCGAAGCCGUAAGGCGAUGUAUACGGACUGACGCCUGCCCGGUGCUGGAACGUUAAGGGGACCGGUUAGCUCAGAUUCGUCUGGGCGAAGCUGAGAACUUAAGCGCCAGUAAACGGCGGUGGUAACUAUAACCAUCCUAAGGUAGCGAAAUUCCUUGUCGGGUAAGUUCCGACCUGCACGAAUGGCGUAACGACUUCUCGACUGUCUCAACCAUAGGCCCGGUGAAAUUGCACUACGAGUAAAGAUGCUCGUUUCGCGCAGCAGGACGGAAAGACCCCGGGACCUUUACUACAGUUUGAUAUUGGUGUUCGGUUCGGCUUGUGUAGGAUAGCUGGGAGACUGUGAAGCUUGGACGCCAGUUCAGGUGGAGUCGUCGUUGAAAUACCAGUCUGGUCGUGCUGGAUGUCUAACCUGGGUCCGUGAUCCGGAUCAGGGACAGUGUCUGAUGGGUAGUUUAACUGGGGCGGUUGCCUCCUAAAGGGUAACGGAGGCGCCCAAAGGUUCCCUCAGCCUGGUUGGCAAUCAGGUGUUGAGUGUAAGUGCACAAGGGAGCUUGACUGUGAGACCGACGGGUCGAGCAGGGACGAAAGUCGGGACUAGUGAUCCGGCGGUGGCUUGUGGAAGCGCCGUCGCUCAACGGAUAAAAGGUACCCCGGGGAUAACAGGCUGAUCUUCCCCAAGAGUCCAUAUCGACGGGAUGGUUUGGCACCUCGAUGUCGGCUCGUCGCAUCCUGGGGCUGGAGUCGGUCCCAAGGGUUGGGCUGUUCGCCCAUUAAAGCGGUACGCGAGCUGGGUUUAGAACGUCGUGAGACAGUUCGGUCCCUAUCCGCUGUGCGCGUAGGAGUCUUGAGAAGGGCUGUCCCUAGUACGAGAGGACCGGGACGGACGAACCUCUGGUGUGCCAGUUGUUCUGCCAAGGGCAUGGCUGGUUGGCUACGUUCGGGAGGGAUAACCGCUGAAAGCAUCUAAGCGGGAAGCCUGCUUCGAGAUGAGGACUCCCACCUCCUGGAGAGGGUAAGGCUCCCAGUAGACGACUGGGUUGAUAGGCCGGAUAUGGAAGCACGGUAACGUGUGGAGUUGACCGGUACUAAUAGGCCGAGGGCUUGUCCUC